CCUACGGGAGGCAGCAGUGGGGAAUAUUGCGCAAUGGGCGAAAGCCUGACGCAGCAACGCCGUGUGAGGGAUGAAGGCUUUCGGGUCGUAAACCUCUGUCGGAAGGGAAGAACGGGCAUUGGUCUAAUAGGCCUUUGUUUUGACGGUACCUUUAGAGGAAGCACCGGCUAACUCCGUGCCAGCAGCCGCGGUAAUACGGAGGGUGCAAGCGUUAUUCGGAAUUACUGGGCGUAAAGCGCACGUAGGCCGCUUUGUAAGUCAGGGGUGAAAUCCCACGGCUCAACCGUGGAACUGCCUUUGAAACUGCAGAGCUUGAAUCCUGGAGAGGGUGGCGGAAUUCCUGGUGUAGGAGUGAAAUCCGUAGAUAUCAGGAGGAACACCGGUGGCGAAGGCGGCCACCUGGACAGGCAUUGACGCUGAGGUGCGAAAGUGUGGGGAGCAAAC
rnacentral:rRNA from 1 species